rnacentral:piRNA from 1 species
UUAAUGAAUAAUUAACUGUUU